AAAGCUCGUAGUCGAAGUUUGUUUCUCGGUGCGGUAUACUUAAUGCCGUAGCGUCAAACCGCGUCGGUCACAUUUAGCACUCACUGUGCAAGUGGGGCAGGACGCUUUUUACUUUGAGGAAAUUAGGGUGUUUUAAGCAGGUUGAGCAUUGAAUAUUGUAGCAUGGAAUAAUUGGAUAAGGCCUCGGAGCUAUUUUGUUGGUUCUAGUACCGUGGCAAUGAUGAAUAGGGACAGCCGGGGGUAUUCGUAUUUAACUGCCAGAGGUGAAAUUCUUGGACUUGUUGAAGACGUACUACUGCGAAAGCAUUUGCCAAGGAUGUUCUCGUUGAUCAAGAACGAAAGUUAGGGGAUCGAAGACGAUCAGAUACCGUCCUAGUCUUAACCAUAAACUAUGCCGACUAGAGAUUGGGGGAAGUUCUCUAAACACACUCUCAGCAUCCUGUGAGAAAUCAAAGUUUUUGGGUUCCGGGGGGAGUAUAGUCGCAAGGCUGAAACUUAAAGGAAUUGACGGAAGGGCACCACCAGGAGUGGAGCCUGCGGCUUAAUUUGACUCAACACGGGAAAACUCACCAGGUCCAGACAUAGGA
rnacentral:rRNA from 1 species